rnacentral:rRNA from 1 species
AUUCCAGCUCCAAUAGCGUAUAUUAAAGUUGUUGCAGUUAAAAAGCUCGUAGUUGGAUGUUGGGUUCUAGUUAUGUUCGGUCUCUUCUAGAGUACUGUCAUGCUGUCCCUUUUUCUCGGGGCCUAUAGGUGCACUUAACCGUGUGUUUAUAGUGUUCGGGACUUUUACCGUGAGAAAAUUAGAGUGUUCAUAGCAGGCUAGUGCUUGAAUAUUACAGCAUGGAAUAAUGGAAUAGGAUCAUGAUCUUAUUUUGUUGGUUUCUAAGAUUAAGAUAAUGAUUAAUAGGGAUAGUUGGGGGCAUUAAUAUUUAGUUGUCAGAGGUGAAAUUCUUAGAUUUACAAAAGAUUAACUUCUGCGAAAGCAUUUGCCAAGGAUGUUUUCAUCA